AACCAGUACCGUGAGGGAAAGGCGAAAAGAACCCCGGGAGGGGAGUGAAAUAGAUCCUGAAACCGCAUGCAUACAAACAGUGGGAGCCUGUACUUGUACGGGUGACUGCGUACCUUUUGUAUAAUGGGUCAGCGACUUACAUUCAGUAGCAAGCUUAACCGACUAGGGGAAGCGCAGCGAAAGCGAGUCUUAAUAGGGCGAUUUAGUUGCUGGGUGUAGACCCGAAACCAGAUGAUCUACUCAUGGCCAGGAUGAAGCGAAGGUAACACUUUGUGGAGGUCCGAACCCACUAAUGUUGAAAAAUUAGGGGAUGAGCUGUGGGUAGGGGUGAAAGGCUAAACAAAUCUGGAAAUAGCUGGUUCUCUCCGAAAACUAUUUAGGUAGUGCCUCACGUAUCACCUCUGGGGGUAGAGCACUGUCAUGGCUAGGGGGUCAUUUAGACUUACCAAACCAUUGCAAACUCCGAAUACCAGAGAGUGCGAGCGUGGGAGACAGACAUCGGGUGCUAACGUCCGGUGUCGAAAGGGAAACAACCCAGACCCUCAGCUAAGGUCCCAAAGACACAGUUAAGUGGGAAACGAAGUGGGAAGGCAUAAACAGUCAGGAGGUUGGCUUAGAAGCAGCCACCCUUUAAAGAAAGCGUAAUAGCUCACUGAUCGAGUCGUCCUGCGCGGAAGAUGUAACGGGGCUCAAACUGUGCACCGAAGCUAGGGAUCUACAUUUAUGUAGAUGGUAGGAGAGCGUUCCGUAAGCCUGCGAAGGUGUGGUGUGAACCAUGCUGGAGGUAUCGGAAGUGCGAAUGCUGACAUGAGUAGCGAUAAAGGGAGUGAAAGGCUCCCUCGCCGAAAACCCAAGGAUUCCUGUGCAACGUUAAUCGGCGCAGGGUGAGUCGGCCCCUAAGGUGAGGCAGAAAUGCGUAGCUGAUGGGAAACUGGUUAAUAUUCCAGUACCUUUAUUUAAUGCGAUGUGGGGACGGAGAAGGUUAGCUCAGCCGGGUGUUGGAUAUCCCGGUUCAAGCGUGUAGACGUGCUGCUUAGGUAAAUCCGGGCAGCUUAGUUGAGGCGUGAUAACGCAACACUCUUAGGAGUGCCAAGUGAGUGAUACCAUGCUUCCAGGAAAAGCCGCUAAGCUUCAGUUAAAUAAAGACCGUACCGCAAACCAACACAGGUGGGUGGGAUGAGAAUUCUAAGGCGCUUGAGAGAACUCUGGAGAAGGAACUCGGCAAAUUGACACCGUAACUUCGGGAGAAGGUGUGCCCUUUGUACGUGUAGUGCUUUACGCAUGAAGCGGAAGAGGGUUGCAAAGAAAUGGUGGCUGCGACUGUUUAAUAAAAACAUAGCACUCUGCAAACACGCAAGUGGACGUAUAGAGUGUGACGCCUGCCCGGUGCCGGAAGGUUAAAUGAUGGGGUGCAAGCUCUUGAUUGAAGCCCCGGUAAACGGCGGCCGUAACUAUAACGGUCCUAAGGUAGCGAAAUUCCUUGUCGGGUAAGUUCCGACCUGCACGAA
rnacentral:rRNA from 1 species